UACAGAGGUCCCAAGCGUUACUGAGAAUCACUGGGUUUAAAGGGUGCGUAGGUGGUCCGUUAAGUCAGUUGUGAAAUCCCCGGGCUCAACCCGGGAACUGCUUCUGAUACUGGCGGACUUGAGGCCAGUAGGGGUCACUAGAACUGACGGUGGAGCGGUGAAAUGCGUAGAUAUCGUCAGGAAUGCCGGUGGUGAAGACGGGGUGACUGGGCUGGUUCUGACACUGGAGGCACGAAAGGCGUGGGGAGCGAACGGGG
rnacentral:rRNA from 1 species